rnacentral:rRNA from 1 species
ACGGAGGGUGCAAGCGUUAAUCGGAAUUACUGGGCGUAAAGCGUGCGUAGGCGGUUAUUUAAGUCAGAUGUGAAAGCCCCGGGCUCAACCUGGGAACUGCAUUUGAAACUGGGUAACUAGAGUUUGGUAGAGGUGAGUAGAAUUCCUAGUGUAGCGGUGAAAUGCGUAGAUAUUAGGAGGAAUACCAGUGGCGAAGGCGGCUCACUGGACCAAAACUGACGCUGAGGUACGAAAGCGUGGGGAGCAAACAGG